AAAUCCGGAAGCGGAGUGGCGUGGUACUGCGGCCCAGGGUGUCGCCCGUCCGUCCGUCCUUGCCAUCUCAGAACCUUUCAAUACAACCACCCCCGAGAGGCCGAGACUAUUGCCAUCCAUCGUCGCACCAGCAGCGGCUCUUCCCCCAUUCCGCGUGGGGGGCUAGGGUUUCCAUCGCGCUCUCCCCGCCUCGCCCCUCGCCGUCGCCGGCCAGGGGCCCCCGAUCGGGCCGGCGCCGGGGCCUCCUCGCCGCGGAGGGCUCCGGCCGGCUCGCGCUCGCCGGAUGCGGCCGGUUCCGAGUGUAGAGCAAUGGGGAAUGGAGCCAAGGCUGCUGAUGAUGUUAGGGAAGGGCAACUCAAGCUCAUGGAUCAAUGUCUUGCCGCCACAAGCCCGGCAGUUGUGCAUACUGCUCUUCUUUGGGGCUUGGCAAACCUAACCUGAGUCUCCUCAGGCCAAGACCCAGCGCAGCGACUCCUUGUAAGAGGAGGCAUUCGUCUGCACGUGCCCAUCAACAACUCCUGCAACUAUUCUCCACUAACACCGAUGACCUCGUCCAGGCACUAACCUGUCCUGGAUGAGCUAUGGUGAUGCCUACCUACCGAAGUACUAUUAUAGCCAUCACUAAUCUUUCUUCCUUAGUUUCCCUCCGUCUUCACUGCGGUUAUUACCACUAAUAUUAUGUAAGGUUUAUUUUGGUUUGCUGUGAACCAAUUUGGAAAUUGGUGGAUCAUCGUGGUAGUACCAUUUCAUAUUGUUGGAUUCUAGAUGUCUGUACUGACUUCUGGUGCACGAAUGAAUGAAUGACCAGUUAUAUGA